GUAGUCUGCAACCCGACUACAUGAAGCUGGAAUCGCUAGUAAUCGCAGGUCAGCAUACUGCGGUGAANACGUUCCCGGGUCUUGUACACACCGCCCGUCACACCAUGGGAGCCGGAAAUGCCCGAAGCCAGUGACCCAACCUUAGGGAGGGAGCUGUCGAAGGUGGAGCCGGUAACUGGGGUGAAGUCGUAACAAGGUACC
rnacentral:rRNA from 1 species